UACGUAGGUGGCAAGCGUUGUCCGGAUUUAUUGGGUUUAAAGGGUGCGUAGGCGGCCCUGUAAGUCAGUGGUGAAAUACUCUAGCUUAACUAGAGGGGUGCCAUUGAUACUGCAGGGCUUGAGUACAGACGAGGUAGGCGGAAUUGACGGUGUAGCGGUGAAAUGCGCAGAUAUCAGGAGGAACACCGGUGGCGAAGGCGGGUCUCUGGGCCGAUACUGACGCUGAGGAGCGAAAGCGUGGGGAGCAAACAGG
rnacentral:rRNA from 1 species